CAUGUGUGCUUACUUGUAUGUGCAUUGUAUGUGUUGACAUGAUAUACAUAACAUAAACACACGUGUAUCUGCAAGCACACACACACAGGAAAAAUUGCAUUCAUUUAUACGUUUGAAUGAUAU